rnacentral:lncRNA from 1 species
CUCGCAUGACCACAAUAGUCCUUGGAAUGGCUUUCUCUGCACAUUUUUACCAAUGUAUUUAGUUAUUUUUGUAUUGAAAUCCAGGAAGAAGAUUAAUGCGCCAGAGUCAGGACUAGGUCGGUACUUCCGAGGAGGGCGUGGUUGAAGGAUGUAAACAAUACUUUUCUGUUCUCACUCACAGUAUUUGCUGCCCUCGUCAAAUUGAAUUAAAGUAAAGAAUGUGAGAUCGAGAAUGAAGAGGAAAUUGGAGACCUGCCUUAUAUUCAGAAUGGUACUGUUGUGCCAUAUCGGUUUGAGCCGGAGUAUACUGAGGCUGAGUUGUUCCAUUUGCAGGCUGACUGAGAGAAAAGAGCUAGAGAGAGAGACAGAAGGGAGCAGAUAUCGAGGAAACACAGGCUCAACUGGAAACGACGUGCCACACCUGACGGUCCAAAUUGGAAGCUGUCUGAAGAACAAUACAGACUGGUCUCUUAUUGGAUCACCCUGGAGUGGAUGCUGAGGGGAGAACAUCUUACAAUUUAAUGUUAUUAUAAAACAUAUAAAACAACAAUUACACAGUUACUAUGCCAUGUACACUGUCACUCAGCAUUAGUUAGACCAGGGAUUUACAAACAUGUUCAUGGAGAGCAACUGUCUUGUAGGUUUUCACUCCAACAGGUGAGCUUGAUUAGGGUUGGGUUGAAAACCUAUAGGACAGUAGCUCUCUCAGUACAAGGUUAAAGAACUGUGGGGUUAUGUAAAACAAUUGCAUAGUCUUUGCGUCCUCUCUCCUUCUCAAAACACAUUAGAUGAGAAAGCCAGAGGACCUGACCAUGGUUGACCAGGAUGUGAGGAUUAUGCAAAUGAGAUCUUCCCACAGAAUCCUACUCAUUACUCCAUGUGCUGGCUCAGGCCUGGGAGUCAGCCCAGUUCCAAAACGUCACCCGGUGCAAAACACGCCUACCCAGGUGCCCAAAGCAGAUUAAUCAAUUCCCUCAUUGAAUAGAACAGGUGUUCCCAUGCAAGACAAUGACGGCGUAAUGGGUGGACUGCCGGCCAUUGCGAGUGUACCCAUAGGAGCAAAGCCGUAAGUAAAAGCAUAAAGUAAAAGCAGGAAGUGUACCCAUCAACCUGUAAUGUGAUUUGUUCAAUCAACUCAACUGACAUUAGAAAAAAGGCAUUCCGUUGCAUGAGCCACAUCAGUUAGCAUCAUUUGAAUGGACAUUCUACAUUACCAUGGAAAUUAUUGCAUCACGCAUGGCAGGCGGUACCAAGCGCCAACAGGACCCUGAACAGCUUUUACCCCCAAGUCAUUAGGCUGCUAAAUAGUGAAAAUAGCUAACCGGAC